rnacentral:miRNA from 1 species
UUGUCCGUAUUUUUCUAGAUGUUCCUCUCAACAUUUUCUUUAUUUCUUUAUUGCGAUUAAAUUGUUGAGACAAACAUCUAGAAAAAUGCGGGCAAUAA